UAAAACUCAUAAACCAUAAAAAAUUUAUUCAUCUCUUUGUCUUCAGUUUACAUAUCAAAGACAAAUGUCCAUCUUUAAAAUCAAAUCUAUAUGAUCUCUGUUAAAUCAACACAAAAAGUCAAAAUUGCAUUUUGUUUACUCGAACAAGCACUUUUACUAAUGCUUGUCAAGUUCCAAAACGUUGUCACCGCAGAGCCGGCCAAGAUUCCUGCAGAGCAAACACCAUUAGAAGAACGAUGGCCAAAAUAAUCAAUAAACCAAUGCUGAAUCUUGAGGCCAUCCUUUGUUCUUUUCCGCGCCAGAGUGAUAUAUGUCCAUUAAAACCACCAUAACUCUUUCAUCGAAGCUCUGAUUUGCUUGAAAUCACCACCGUUAGAAAGAUAACUCAAUUUCCUAUAACUUUCAUGAAGCGCUCUGAAGCUAAAUCGCAAUGAAAGACUCUCAUCUGAGUAGAUCUUUGAAGGACUUCGGACUGGUUCUUAAUCAUCAAUUCUCUUCUUUGCAUCCAAAUGUGUGUCCUCCAUUAUUUUAACCUGAAAUUGCUCAAAAGACACACAAACACACACCAAAAGACACACAAAGACACUAUGGGACUUCUAAAAUGCAAGAAGACACACUUGGACACUAAAUGCAACAAACACAAUGAAAAUACUAAUGAAACACAAUAAUUAGGAUUAUAACAACCAUGAUAAAGCGGUAAAUAUAGAGUAUAUCAAGCAACAAGCUCAUUGUAUGUCACAGAAUCUGCUGGGCAGUUGUUUUCCUCCAUCUCCUUUAAAACACUCAAUGCUUCUGUAUAAACAACUCCUGCUUUGCCAAAAACUUGCAACAAAGCAUUGUAAGUUACAGUUCCAGGUUCAUAGCCGCAUGACUUAAGUUCAGUGACAAAGUCCUUCGCUUCUCUUAACAAACCUUCUCUUGCACAAGCAGAUAGCACAGUACUACAAGUAAACUCAUCAAACUUCAAUCCUUUGCUUCUCAUUUCCUCUAAAACCCCAAGAAUUUUCCUCCAAGAUCGACCCAUUUUCCCAAAAACAUCGAGAAUCACAUUGUAAGUCACCAAAGUAGGUGGAAGGACCCAUCUCUUUCAUCCUCUCAAACAAAUCGAUAGCCUUUUCAUACUUCCCUGUCCGUGAAUACGCAUGUAAGAUCGUCGUGUAAGCACGAACAUCGAGCAUAUAGUCUUGUAGAGGAAUUUUGUCGAGCAACUUAGCUGCAACAGAGUCUUGAGAUUCUCUACCUAAAGUCCUAACUAAGAUUUCGAUAACUUGAUGAUCUAGCUUCAAAGCUCCAGAAUCCGAAGACAAAACUAACCAUUCAAACAAAAAAACAGCUCUUUCCCAAUGCCCAGAAUCAUCUAGUCCCUUAACCAACCUAACCAAAUCAGUUCUAAGCAAUUCAGAUUUCACAGAAUCGAAAAAACUGCUUAAUCUAGGCAAAGGCUGUUCAACAAUGGAAUUAACCAAGACAACUUCUUUCUUACACAGUAGUUUCAAAGACCCAUCUCUCUCGUUCCCAAUUCAACACCCAGAACAGAACACAAACACAUAAAGCAAACUCGGAGACACGGUGCAAACGUGCCACGUGGACACAGGCCCGGUCCUG
rnacentral:lncRNA from 1 species